CCUACGGGAGGCAGCAGUAGGGAAUAUUGCUCAAUGGGGGAAACCCUGAAGCAGCAACGCCGCGUGGAGGAUGAAGGUUUUCGGAUUGUAAACUUCUGAUCUGUUGGACGAAGAAAGUGACGGUACCACAGGAGAAAGCCACGGCUAACUACGUGCCAGCAGCCGCGGUCAUACGUAGGUGGCGAGCGUUGUCCGGAAUAACUGGGCGUAAAGGGAGCGUAGGUGGUUGAUUAAGUUAAAUGUGCAAGCCCAGGGCUCAACUCUGGAACUGCAUUUAAUACUGGUCGGCUAGAGUACAGGAGGGGUAAACGGAAUUUCUAGUGUAGCGGUGAAAUGCGUAGAGAUUAGGAAGAACACCGGAGGCGAAGGCGGUUUACUGGACUGCAACUGACACUGAGGCUCGAAAGCGUGGGGAGCAAACAGGAUUAGAUACCCGAGUAGUC
rnacentral:rRNA from 1 species